UGUCGACGCUGGCGGCGUGCCUAAUACAUGCAAGUCGAGCGGACAGAUGGGAGCUUGCUCCCUGAUGUUAGCGGCGGACGGGUGAGUAACACGUGGGUAACCUGCCUGUAAGACUGGGAUAACUCCGGGAAACCGGGGCUAAUACCGGAUGGUUGUUUGAACCGCAUGGUUCAAACAUAAAAGGUGGCUUCGGCUACCACUUACAGAUGGACCCGCGGCGCAUUAGCUAGUUGGUGAGGUAACGGCUCACCAAGGCAACGAUGCGUAGCCGACCUGAGAGGGUGAUCGGCCACACUGGGACUGAGACACGGCCCAGACUCCUACGGGAUGCAGCAGUAGGGAAUCUUCCGCAAUGGACGAAAGUCUGACGGAACAACGCCCCGUGAGUGAUGAAGGUUUUCGGAUCGUGGGCUCUGUUGGGAGGGA
rnacentral:rRNA from 1 species